GAUGAACGCUGGCGGCGUGCCUAAUACAUGCAAGUCGAGCGAACAGACGAGGAGCUUGCUCCUCUGACGUUAGCGGCGGACGGGUGAGUAACACGUGGAUAACCUACUUAUAAGACUGGGAUAACUUCGGGAAACCGGAGCUAAUACCGGAUAAUAUAUUGAACGGCAUGGUUCAAUAGUGAAAGACGGUUUUGCUGUCACUUAUAGAUGGAUCCGCGCCGCAUUAGCUAGUUGGUAAGGUAACGGCUUACCAAGGCAACGAUGCGUAGCCGACCUGAGAGGGUGAUCGGCCACACUGGAACUGAGACACGGUCCAGACUCCUACGGGAGGCAGCAGUAGGGAAUCUUCCGCAAUGGGCGAAAGCCUGACGGAGCAACGCCGCGUGAGUGAUGAAGGUCUUCGGAUCGUAAAACUCUGUUAUUAGGGAAGAACAAAUGUGUAAGUAACUAUGCACGUCUUGACGGUACCUAAUCAGAAAGCCACGGCUAACUACGUG
rnacentral:rRNA from 1 species